rnacentral:rRNA from 1 species
UGCCAGCAGCCGCGGUAAUACGGAAGAUACAAGCGUUGUUCGGAAUUAUUGGGCUUAAAGCGCGUGUAGGCGGGACAGUAAGUAUUUUGUGAAAUCCCUCGGCUCAACUGAGGAAUUGCAGGAUAUACUGCUGUUCUUGAGGCAAUCAGGGGCACCCGGAACUCUAGGUGGAGCGGUGAAAUGCGUAGAUAUCUAGAGGAACGCCGGUGGCGAAAGCGGGGUGCUGGGAUUGUUCUGACGCUGAGACGCGAAAGCGUAGGUAGCGAACGGGAUUAGAUA